CCUGCCCAAUGAUUGAAAGAUUUAAUGGCCGCGGUAUAUUGACCGUGCAAAGGUAGCAUAAUCAGUAGUUUUUUAAUUGAAAGCUUGUAUGAAGGGUUUGAUGAGAAAAUAACUGUCUCUAUUUAAAUUUUGUAGAAAUUUAUUUUUAAGUAAAAAAGCUUAAAUAGUUAUUGAAGACGAGAAGACCCUAUAGAGUUUAAUAGAUUAAUUAUUUGAGAAAGGAUUAGUAUUUAUUUUUUAAUAUGUAGUUAGUUUAUUUUGUUGGGGUGAUAGAAAAAUUAAUAAAACUUUUUUUGAAUUUAAACAUAAAUUUAUGAGUAUUUGAUCCUUUAAUGAAGAUUAUAAGAUAAAAUUACCUUAGGGAUAACAGCGUAAUUUUUUUUGAGAGUUCAAAUCGAAAAAAAAGAUUGCGACCUCGAUGUUGGAUUAAAAAAAAGCAUUGGUGUAUAAGCUAAUGGAUUAGGUCUGUUCGACCUUUAAAAUUUUACAUGAUCUGAGUUUAAACCGGCGUGAGCCAGGUCGGU
rnacentral:rRNA from 1 species